rnacentral:rRNA from 1 species
GAUGAACGCUGGCGGCGUGCCUAAUACAUGCAAGUCGAGCGAACAGACGAGGAGCUUGCUCCUCUGACGUUAGCGGCGGACGGGUGAGUAACACGUGGAUAACCUACCUAUAAGACUGGGAUAACUUCGGGAAACCGGAGCUAAUACCGGAUAAUAUAUUGAACCGCAUGGUUCAAUAGUGAAAGACGGUUUUGCUGUCACUUAUAGAUGGAUCCGCGCCGCAUUAGCUAGUUGGUAAGGUAACGGCUUACCAAGGCAACGAUGCGUAGCCGACCUGAGAGGGUGAUCGGCCACACUGGAACUGAGACACGGUCCAGACUCCUACGGGAGGCAGCAGUAGGGAAUCUUCCGCAAUGGGCGAAAGCCUGACGGAGCAACGCCGCGUGAGUGAUGAAGGUCUUCGGAUUGUAAAACUCUGUUAUUAGGGAAGAACAAAUGUGUAAGUAACUAUGCACGUCUUGACGGUACCUAAUCAGAAAGCCACGGCUAACUACGUG